rnacentral:rRNA from 1 species
AUACGGAGGAUCCGAGCGUUAUCCGGAUUUAUUGGGUUUAAAGGGUGCGCAGGCGGCCAUUUAAGUCAGCGGUUAAAUCGUGGGGCUCAACCCCAUUCUGCCGUUGAUACUGGGUGGCUUGAUUGCGGUCGAGGUUGGCGGAAUUCGUUGUGUAGCGGUGAAAUGCAUAGAUAUGACGAAGAACACCGAUUGCGUAGGCAGCUUACCAGACCGCAAAUGACGCUCAUGCACGAAAGUGCGGGGAUCGAACAGGAUUAGAUACCCUGGUAGUCCACGCAGUAAACGAUGAAUACUUGUUUUCGGCGAUAUAAUGUCGGAGGCAAAGCGAAAGCGAUAAGUAUUCCACCUGGGGAGUACGCCGGCAACGGUGAAACUCAAAUGAAUUGGCGGGG